AGAAAGAAAGAAAAGAAAAUGGCCGCUCUGGGGACAAUUUUGAGGCGAGCGGGUCCCAGUGUCGGCAGCAUUCUGCAGCGAUCUGUUCUGAAGAAUGCGACACCGUUGUAUUUCGCCAGAGGGGCUAAAGUCUGGUUGCCCGAUAAAGAUUAUUUUGACCAGAUAAAAAGUCCAGUUAUGUAUCCAGAUGAAACUACAGACUGGGAGUUGCCUCCCAUUAAUGAGAAGGCGUUUAUCCGAGAGAAGCACGUCCAGAAUCUGGUGAUUAAUUUUGGACCCCAGCAUCCAGCGGCUCAUGGCGUACUGCGUCUUGUGCUCACUCUUGAUGGAGAGACUGUUGUCCGAGCCGAUCCACACAUUGGCUUGCUGCAUCGGGCGACAGAGAAACUUAUAGAGUACAAAACAUAUCUACAGGCAUUGCCAUACUUCGAUCGUCUCGACUACGUGUCUAUGAUGUGUAAUGAGCAGUGUUACUCGAUAGCCGUGGAGAAGUUACUUAACAUCGAGGUACCCGAGAGAGCCAAGUGGAUUAGAACGUUGUUUGGUGAGAUAACGCGCUUGAUGAAUCACCUCAUGUCAAUCGCGUGUCACGCUCUUGACGUGGGCGCCAUGACACCCUUCUUCUGGCUGUUUGAGGAGCGAGAGAAGCUGAUGGAAUUCUAUGAACGUGUUUCGGGAGCAAGAAUGCAUGCUGCCUAUGUAAGGCCAGGGGGCGUGUCUCAGGACUUGCCUCUUGGCCUUCUCGAUGACAUGUACGACUUCCUGCUGCAGUUUCCGCAGCGUAUUGACGAAGUGGAUGACCUUCUAACGCCCAACCGGAUCUGGAAGGCGAGGACGGUUGACAUCGGGAUCAUCUCCGCAGAAGAUGCUCUUAACUAUGGCUUCAGUGGCGUCAUGGUGCGAGGCUCGGGAGUCAAGUGGGACAUACGUAAAGUGGAACCGUAUGAUAGGUACGACCAAGUGGAGUUUGAUGUUCCCAUUGGGCGCAAAGGAGACUGCUACGACAGAUAUCUGGUGCGAAUGGAGGAAAUGCGACAGAGUGUCAGGAUCAUGUUGCAGUGUUUGAACAAGAUGCCGGCAGGAGAAAUCAAGGUGGAUGACAACAAGGUGGCGCCACCUGCCAGAGCAGACAUGAAGACGUCCAUGGAGUCCCUGAUUCACCACUUCAAGCUGUACUCUGAGGGUUACCAGGUUCCCCCGGAUCAACGUAUACGGCCAUAGAGGCCACCAAGGGAGAGUUUGGAGUAUACCUCGUAUCGGAUGGAACCAACAAACCAUACAGAUGUAAAAUAAAGGCCCCUGGAUUUGCUCACUUGGCGGGCUUGGAAAAGUUGGCGAAGAAGCACAUGCUGGCCGAUGUAGUUGCGAUUAUUGGAACAUUGGAUAUUGUCUUUGGUGAAGUUGAUCGCUAAGUCUGUACCAGAAACUGACAUGUAUUUAUUAGAAAGAACAUUUUUUUCACCAGCAGUUCAAAAGUGCUCUGUUCAGCAAAUACUGACAAACUAUAUAAACAUUUGUAAUUCUUCUGACAAAUACACCAGAAAGAUUUCCUUCAUGGAAAUUAUGAUGGUUACAGAUCUUUUAAAAAACCCAAAACAAACUGUUAUAGGUUGUCCAAGUGUAGAUGUAUUUCAAAUUAUAACUCUGCUUCUUCAAAGAUAAUUAUGUUCAGCAUUUCCAGAACAUAUUGUAAUUAAUCUCUCUAUUGGUUGUAAUGAAGUCGGAACUUGUUUGUCAGUGCAGACCAGUGCUGAUGUAGCUGAUGAACCCUGCCAUUGCUGGUUUUGUUUUGAUGAGCCAGACUUCUGAAAUGCCUGGACUCCUGGUCACUAAACUGUAGACUUUGGCGUUUGACAAUUAAUUUUGACUGUGUUAGGCUUUACGAGAUGGUAAUAAAGAUAUUAUUACACGUGUGCUUUGUAUGAAUUUUAUUAACUCAGUUAUGUUAAACCAUGUGGAUAAUAACACUUGUUAUUACACAUGUGUUUCAUAUGAUGUUUAUUAACUCUGUUAUGUUGAACCAUGUGAAUAAUAACACUUGUUAUUACACGUGUGUUUCAUAUGUUUAUUAAAUCAGAUAUGUUGAACCAUGUGAAUAAUACUUGUUAUUACACGUGUGUUUCGUAUGUUUAUUAAUUCAGUUAUUUUGAACCAUGUGGAUAAUAACACUUGUUAUUACACAUGUGUUUCAUAUGAUGUUUAUUAACUGGACUCCACUUUAUUCUGGUCACAUGAUCUCUGAAACAGACUGGAAACGUAGCCAUCCACCUUUGGCUAGAUGGUUUGAUUGUUGGUUUGUGUACUGUGAAUAUACAACACAACUUGUGUCUAUUGACAUGACAGAGGAAAAUAAUAUUGUGUAUAUACUGUAGAUUAAAACGUGUGUUUAUUAAACCCAUAGUGUAAAAUCCUGUGUAAUAUGGUAAAAACGUGUGUUUAUUGAACUCACAAAAAUAAAUACAGUGUAUAUUGAGUAAAACA
rnacentral:misc_RNA from 1 species